AAGUCGUAACAAGGUCUCCGUAGGUGAACCUGCGGAGGGAUCAUUAACACGUUCCAUACCAACAUUAUCAACCCACUGUGAACUUUUGUAUCCGCCGAUAUGGUGUGACACGGGGAAUACGGUGCAUAUCAUUAUCCAACGAUGAAGGUGAAUGAAGUCAAAUUCAUUCAUACGGAUAGUGUAUGCUGUGAUGUCAGUCUUUGAGCUGACAGCCGUCCCUGUUGAUCAUCCGGCCCCCAUAUAUGUGAUCAGUAGUCAUCAUCUGCUGCUGACUCCAUAUCCACACGCCCUGUCAAAAUU
rnacentral:misc_RNA from 1 species